GGAAUAUUGGACAAUGGGCGAAAGCCUGAUCCAGCCAUGCCGCGUGUGUGAAGAAGGUCUUCGGAUUGUAAAGCACUUUAAGUUGGGAGGAAGGGUUGUAGAUUAAUACUCUGCAAUUUUGACGUUACCGACAGAAUAAGCACCGGCUAACUCUGUGCCAGCAGCCGCGGUAAUACAGAGGGUGCAAGCGUUAAUCGGAAUUACUGGGCGUAAAGCGCGCGUAGGUGGUUUGUUAAGUUGGAUGUGAAAUCCCCGGGCUCAACCUGGGAACUGCAUCCAAAACUGGCAAGCUAGAGUAUGGUAGAGGGUGGUGGAAUUUCCUGUGUAGCGGUGAAAUGCGUAGAUAUAGGAAGGAACACCAGUGGCGAAGGCGACCACCUGGACUGAUACUGACACUGAGGUGCGAAAGCGUGGGGAGCAAACAGGAUUAGAUACCCGGG
rnacentral:rRNA from 1 species